GACGAACGCUGGCGGCGUGCUUAACACAUGCAAGUCGAACGGAAAGGCCCUGCUUUUGUGGGGUGCUCGAGUGGCGAACGGGUGAGUAACAAGUGAGUAACCUGCCCUUGACUUUGGGAUAACUUCAGGAAACUGGGGCUAAUACCGGAUAGGAGCUCCUGCUGCAUGGUGGGGGGUGGAAAGUUUCGGCGGUUGGGGAUGGACUCGCGGCUUAUCAGCUUGUUGGUGGGGUAGUGGCUUACCAAGGCUUUGAAGGGUAGCCGGCCUGAGAGGGUGACCGGCGACACUGGGGCGGAGACACGGACGAUACUCCUACGGGAGGGAGCAGUAGGGAAUAUUGCGGAAGGGGCGCGAGCCGGAUGCAGCGGUGCCGCGUGUAUAGAGACGGCCUUCGGUUGGGGAAGUACUUUUAGCGGGGGGGAAGGGAGUCAAGUUAAUACCUCUGCUCAGUGACGUUACCCGCAGAAGAAGCACCGGCUAACUCCGUG
rnacentral:rRNA from 1 species